GACAGAGGGUGCAAACGUUGCUCGGAAUUACUGGGCGUAAAGCGCGUGUAGGUGGCCUGGUGUGUCAGAUGUGAAAUCCCUGGGCUCAACCCAGGAACUGCACCUGAAACUACCAGCCUUGAGUGGUGGAGAGGGAAGUGGAAUUCCUGGUGUAGAGGUGAAAUUCGUAGAUAUCAGGAGGAACACCAGUGGCGAAGGCGGCUUCCUGGACACCAACUGACGCUGAGACGCGAAAGCGUGGGGAGCAAACAGG
rnacentral:rRNA from 1 species